ensembl:lncRNA
GUGAUGGCAUGAGAGCCAGCUAAGGGAGGAAUUUGUAACAGCCUAAGUGGGAUUUCUCUCUGAUGCUGUGAUUAGUUUCAGCUCCUGAAACUGGAGGUGCUGCUUUUCUGUGAGGCAGUAGGAUGAGUGGAGAACAUGGAAGACAUGAGGACUCCUCAGAGAUAACAUCUUUCGCAGAUCAAAAAUAUCAAAGGAUUAUGGCACACAUACUCUUGCUGAUCCGUUACAUGGUAUUCUGCCAAACAAAACUGGUAAAAGGAAACAUAACAGAAAAUGAGUUUUGAGAAGCAGGAUUUUCUGCUGGUUCCUGGUGUAGAGGACAUUGUGAUGCUUGAUUUGAUGACUUCUGUGCAGAUCCCAUCACCACUUUCAGUUAUUUUGCAAGGGUAAGAAAAUUUGGAAACGUGGUUCACCAUUGCCUGUACUUUUUUUUAAGCCAAG